CAUGUGAAGGUUUCCUCAGAUUAGAAAGAACGGCAGCGUGUGUAUUAAACAGUCACUUCAACCGGACUGAUAAUUCAGAAAACUCAACGAUAUGAUCGUCAUCUUCUGCUUAAUGUUCAACAUGAUUCACGUUUUAGGCUCUUCCCUCAGCGAUCGGGUCCAUCAGACUCCGGCUGAUUUGUUCCACGAGCCCGGAGGAAACGCCGUCAUCAGCUGCACACACAGCAUCGACAACUACGAUGUAAUCCUCUGGUACAAACACUCGACGAGCAGCCAGAUGCAGCUCCUGGGAUACAACGAUGCCGUAAACGGAUACCCAGAGCCGGGGUUAAAGGUGAAAAUCAGUGGCAGCGCAAGCAAAGACAAGAUCAGCACUCUGACGGUGGAGGAUCUGAGCGAGAGCAGCAGCGCCAUUUAUUUCUGCGCCGCUAAAUACCACAGUGCUUCAUGUUAAUGUUCCCCAGCACAAAAACCUCGAGUUUAAUCUUUUUGAUGUCGUAUCUAUUUUGCAGCCGUGCUGCUUCCUUUCAUGAGGCGGCGGUGUGUCGUCACAGACUGCCUCAGCGCUGAGGAGAAACUGAAGCUCCUCCUUCUUCAUGAUGAUUUGAUAAAACACAAAUAAUCAGUCCACUCAGAUACACUGACAGCACCUAUCAGCCUAUGUAACAGAGGGAGACUGUUCUUAGUUUGAGCAUUUAUCUGAUUCUGUUUCCAGGCGACGCUACAAUCAGUCCAGGUUCGUCUGGCCAGCAGGUCCGUCAGACUCCAGCUGAGAUCAGCUGUCUGAAAUUAUUUGACGUUCUAUCAGACGUAUUAUCUAUUGAGAUUACUGUCCAUCGAGUAAUAUAUAAAUAUUUUGGCCAGUCUGUUAUCAUCUGUACAUAAACUGUAAAAGUGCGUUUAUACAAAUACUGUUACAUGUGUGCAAGAUCAGUGUGUCUGUACGUUCCAAUUAGAUUUCCAGUCUAGAACCACAAAUCCUCACACACUCUGUCUAACAGGCCAAUUUAACUCCAUUCACAAAAAACAAAAAAUGCUCUUAGCAUACGUUUAUUCCUUAUUUCUGCAGAUUUUUAUUCUAAUUAUUAUUUUUUGCCGUUUUUAACUUUAAAACAUCAAGUUAAUAAGCUUCACUGUGAGUCAUUAUUUUUGUCCACUAGGAGGCAGUGUUUCCUAUCACAUCUAGUAUAAAGAGUUCAUAACAGGUUAUAGUUUACAGCUACAUUUAACCCGAAUUUUUAACACUAAAUGUUAUUUUUAGGAUAAUAUUUACUCUUUAAGAAUUGACAGAAUGUCCUUCACCUCUAAAGAUGAGUCUUUUUUUUUAAUCACCGGUGUAAUAUUUUGUGCUAAGAAGUGGAGCUUCAGUGACUCCACCCACCUGGAUUACUUCAUAUGCAGCCAUAGCAACAAAACCGAAGACAAUCUGACUGGAGCAAAAUGAUCCUCUUCAUCCUCUGCUGCGUAAGCCUACAUAUCACACUUGUUUCUGGUUCCUCUCCAAGUGACCAAAUCGUCCAGAUUCCAGCUGACAUGUUCAAAAGCCCUGGAGAAACGGCCAAGAUCAGCUGCAGUCACAGUAUCCCAGACUACGAUCGCGUCCUCUGGUACAAACAGUCGAAGCUUCAUGGGAUGAAGCUCCUGGGAUACAUGCUGGGAGACAACGGAUAUCCAGAGAAGGAGCUCAACGUGAACAUAGACGGGAGCGCGAACAGAGACAAAAACAGCACUUUAACCGUCACAGAGCUCAGCCCAGACAGCAGUGCAGUUUACUACUGUGCUGCUCGCUACCACAGUGCUGCAUAUCACUGCUGCUCAGCGCAAAAACCUCCUCACAGGUGCAGCUGGGUUAGCUCUGGGGUCCUGAUAGUUUUAGGCUUCUCAUUAUAGUUUACGUUUAUUUUUGUUGGGACUCUUUGUUCGUCUGAUUCAGUUAGUUUUAGAGUGUGUUAACCUGUUUUUACGAGCUACUAUUGGUUAAAAAUGGGUAAGUUUCAGUUUAGUUUUUACCAAUCACAGUAGUAGUUUUAGUUUUUUCAUACUUUGGUUAUUUUUUUAGGUGAUUUAGAAAAGCACUGUAUUGUCAUUGCAUGUACAUUGAUUGGGUAAUGAAUGGUCAACAGACGAUACAAUAAAAAUCAAUUAUUGUUGA